AGCAAGGUGUAGUGGUUUGAGUAUUGGACUAUGACUCAAGAUACCAGGGUUCAAAUCCCUGCUCAGCCA